AGGAACCAUCCGGUUAGGCCGCACCACCGCUCCAGCUCCUGCCCAGAUAUACCCGAGUACUGCGAUUCAAACUGGGCCAUCACUCAGACUGGAGCCAACCCUCAAACUCUAUGGGGAGCCCUCGUCGGUGGACCCGCACAGGACGGUAGCUACACGGAUGACAGGAACGAUUAUGUCAUGAACGAGGUUGCCUGUGAUUACAACGCGGCCUUCACCGCUGCCCUCGCCGCCCUGGUCUAGUCCGGAUAAGCGAGGAAGCCCGUCCGGAUAACUGAGGGACCUUCAUUCUCGCUUAUCCGAAUUUUAGAGAUGGCCCGGUUAACUGAGGGGGGUUUGUUUAGUAAUGAGAGAUGGUUCCGGAUAAUUGAGGGUCUUUUUUCGCUUAUCCGGACUAAUUAGAGAUGAUCCGGAUAACUGAGGGUCCUUUUUUCACUUAUCCGGAUUAAAGAGAACUGGUUCGGAUAACUGAGGGGCUUUCAUUCAUUUAUCCGGACUAAAAAGAGAUGAUCCGGAUAAAUGAAUGAGGGGUUGACGGUCUUUAUUCAGUUAUCCGGAUUAAAGACAAGAUCCGGAUAAAUGAAUGAGGGAUUGACGGUCUUUAUUCUGUUAUCCGGAUCAAAGACAAGAUCCGGAUAAAUGAAGGAAAGAAAGGGGGACGAUUUCUCAGUUAUCCGGAGCAGAGACAAGAUCCGGAUAAAUGAAUGAAGGAUUGACGGUCUUUAUUCAGCUAUCCGGAUUAAAGACAAGAUCCGGAUAAAUGAAGGAAAGAAAGAGGGACGAGUUCUCAAUUAUCCGGACUCAAGGCAAGACCCGGAUAAAUGAAGAUGGGAUUAAGGGUCGUUUCCCAGUUAACCGGACCAUAGACCUAGUCCGGAUAAAUGAAGGGGUGAUUGAGGGCCAUUUCUCAGUUAUCCGGACCAGUGAGAUCGCAUCCGGAUAAUCGAUAAAGAACUUGAACUUAUUAUGCGAUUACAAGACCAAUUAAUUCGAAAUGUUUGAACUAAGAAGAAAUAAAUACAAAAUAAAUACUAAUAA